rnacentral:ncRNA from 2 species
CUGACAUGCGUGUGAGUCGACGGGUUCUGAAACCUGGGUUGCGCAAGGAAGCUGACGAGCGCGAGGCCCUCACGGGCCACACCGCUGGCCGACCCUGAUCUUCUGUGAAGGGUUCGAGUGGGAGCAUGCCUGUCGGGACCCGAAAGAUGGUGAACUAUGCCUAAGCGAGGCGAAGCCAGAGGAAACUCUGGUGGAGGCUCGAAGCGAUACUGACGUGCAAAUUGUUAGUCUAACUUGGGUAUAGGGGUGAAACACUAAUCAAACCAUCUAGUAGCUGG